AUUGAACGCUGGCGGCAGGCCUAACACAUGCAAGUCGAACGAGUGGCGGACGGGUGAGUAAUGUCUGGGAAACUGCCUGAUGGAGGGGGAUAACUACUGGAAACGGUAGCUAAUACCGCUUACCAUCGGAUUUGCCCAGAUGGGCUUAGCUAGUAGGUGGGGUACAGGCUCACCUAGGCGACGAUCCCUAGCUGGUCUGAGAGGAUGACCAGCAACAAUGGGAGUGAGAAACGUUCCAGAGUCCAACGGGAGGAAGCAGUGGGGAAUAUUGCACAUUGGGAGCAAGCCUGAUGCAGCCAAGCCGCGUGUAUGAGGAGGGAUUUCUGGUGGUAGAGUACUUUCAGCAGGGAGGCGUUCCCCGCGGAAGAAGCACCGGCUCACUCCGUGGCAGCAGCCGCGGUAAUAC
rnacentral:rRNA from 1 species